rnacentral:tRNA from 1 species
GUUUCCAUAGCGUAGUAAUUAUCAAGUUUGCCUAACACGCGAAAUGUCCCCGGUUCAAAACCGGGCGGAAACA